CAGCCCCUGUCGUCUUCUCCUUUCUCUCCUUCACCAUUUUUGGUUACAAAACACCUUCCUUUAGCCGUGGACAGCCUCGGUCUACCCCAUUUUCAUACACAAGUUGUCUACACGUCUGUUUACCUGAGCUCUGUCGUUCACAGAGAAAAGUUUUUCCCCUUUUUGCUUCAAGACGGGUUGAUCCUAAAAGACCAUAAAUGGUCAACCCAUUUACAGAUAAAAUCCCAGGUCAGCCACGUGAAAUCUGCUGGAAAACGCCUUCAAUAUUCAAAUUCAAACGGGUCUAUUUUGGACUCGUUUUUGAAACCCUAGAUGUAAAAGUCCCGCCCAAUUUCGAACCUAGAAAACCCUACAAAUCAUCCUAUAAAUACAUCGUGAAAUCUGGGGAGAAAGGAGUUCUUUCAGCCGCCUUAACCCCUCCUAAAUAUUUACACUUUUUCAGUCACUAUAUCUGGGAAUUAAGUUUAUUUUUACCUAGUCUCGUCUGAUUAAGAAAUCGAUUUUAGGUAGAGUUUUCGUUGAGUCUGUUCUGAUUCCACUCGUUUUAAAUUUUCAUUUGUUCCGUUGUGUUCGGGUGUGUUGAGGGCUGUACUCGAAGAGAUUCGAGCGUCGUUCGCGUUCGAGCGUUGAUCCGAGACCCAAGGCCCCAGUUCAUUGCACACGAGGAAGCAGGUGUUUGCUAUACUUGGCUGGACCGAUUCUUUAUUUUGUUGCCUAUUUUGAGGAGAGAUGUUGCUUGUGCUUAUACUCACUGUUGGAAUGUAUAAUAUUCCAGUAAACCUUUAUAUAAAUUUAGUUCAUUUUAUACUUUAUUUGCUGAUUAGAAAUGGACUGAUUAAUUUAAUUUUUCUUUUCUUUUCUUUUGCAUGACACACCGGAGUCGAAGAGUCUUACUUUAAGACUCGACGUCACCUCGCAAAGGCUUGAAAUGCGUAUCCACAUCCUCCUUUAUAUAUCUCGCUCUUCCUUGAAACUCGUCCGAACAGAACUGAAGAUCUGAGAAGGGAAAUGAUAAACAUUUGGCUGUGUUUUUCCUUUAGUUAUCUGUCCAUAAUAUUAUGCCUGCUAACCCUUGAGUUGCUGCCGUAGAUACUGGUUUGGUAAAUUUCUUUUUUUGUUCGUGAUCGGCUUGGAGUUGAAACAUUUUUGAAGUCAAGUUCUUUAAUUCAGGCAACUAGGAAAAUAUUUAGUUAUUAGUUAA